CUAAAACCAGAAUGGCCUUUCAACAAUUGCCUAACCUCCUCGAUCUCGACAAUCUUGAGAAUGAGAGUUACUAGCUUGAACCAAAAGUGAGCAAUCACUUUCAAAAAUUACCUCUUCAUGGUGCAAAGACUGGGCAAGUAGAAUACCAUCUCGAAGUGCGAGAAGCUCGGCAUGAAAUGGUGAUGUGAGUAGAGCAUAUGGUUUCAUCUGUCCACCGAUGAAACUACCAAUGAAUUAAAAAGCGCACCCUGAGGCUCAAAAAACUAAAUUCUGGCUUGAAAUUGAGGGUGUUUCAGUGGUUAGGCGACGACGCUGGUGAGGCGUCCUCCAAGGCGCUGAACGUGUACGCGCAGAAAAAAAAUGAAAAAUGAUGUCGUUUUGAAACAGAUUGAGUUUAAAUCCUUUCUAGGUCGCGACCCCAGAGUAUAGUGUUGGAGAGCCAAUUUCAGCCCUCUCUGUUCCAAAAGGUAGCAAAUUCGAUCCCUAACCCAAAGUUCGAGUUAAGAGUUCGAUUUCGAUUCGCAGCAGGCUAUUUGAUGAUUUUGGCCAAAGAUAAAGUCUGCAGCAAUUUCCUUGCUAGAUUUUGGCAAAGGUGAUUUGAUAUUGUCAAGCUGAAAUGGGCAACAGAAGUAGAUUCUCUUCAGGAAUGGGAUUCUUCUUCAGCAGCGUUUGUGUGCUGUUCUCGGUCCUCUUUUGAAGUCACAGCUGGAAGAUAUUAAGAUGGGUUGACAGUCCAGUUUUACCAAUUAUGAUGGGUUGACUGUCCGGUUAUAAAUGGGAGUCCAGUACCAUAUUCCAUAGUAAUUGAUACCAAUUAUAUAAUAUUGUGGUGGGUUGUCUAUUGUGUAUGAUACCACUUAUAUAAUACCGGUAGAGUCCAGUACCAUAUUCCAUAGUAAUUGAGUGUUAAUUUAUAUGCUCCACUUCAAGGAAUACGGUGCGUAGGGAGAUAGGGGGAUUGGAGCCGCUAGAACAAGAAGAUGCACAUGUUCAAGCAGUGGAAAAUAUGGCUGCAAGUGAGAGUGGUAGUGCUCAAACUCCACUUGGUGCUGGUUCUACGAGUCAACCGAAGUCAAGUGGACCGAUAGUCAAGCACCAAGUUCAAGUAAGUUUUAAGAAAUGUCUAUGUUUUUGUAAUUGUGUAACUUUAUGUGCAAAUAAUUUCUUUAUCGAUCUUUAGAUCUUUGAUUUCAUA